rnacentral:rRNA from 1 species
GACGAACGCUGGCGGCGUGCUUAACACAUGCAAGUCGAACGGUGAUGCUCCAGCUUGCUGGAGUGGAUCAGUGGCGAACGGGUGAGUAACACGUGAGCAACCUGCCCCAGACUCUGGAAUAAGCUCUGGAAACGGCGUCUAAUACUGGAUACGAAACUGGCCCGCAUGGGCAUGGUUUGGAAAGUUUUUCUGUUUGGGAUGGGCUCGCGGCCUAUCAGCUUGUUGGUGAGGUAAUGGCUCACCAAGGCGACGACGGGUAGCCGGCCUGAGAGGGCGACCGGCCACACGGGGACUGAGACACGGACCAGACUCCUACGGGAGGCAGCAGUGGGGAAUAUUGCACAAUGGGCGAAAGCCUGAUGCAGAGACGCCGCGUGAGGGAUGACGGCCUUCGGGUUGUAAACCUCUUUAAGCAGGGAAGAAGCGAAAGUGACGGUACCUGCAGAAGAAGCACCGGCUAACUACGUG